UUCACCUGCGGAUCCAGAGGAGAGGCGCGUCGCGAAGCCGCGGCGCGGACUGCGCGGACAGACCCGCACCACCUCAUCCUGGCAUUGCAAACACACGACCUGGCUGUCCUGCCCGUCUCCAACCUCUCUGCAGCCGACGUCCUGGAUCUUCAUCCCUGCGCUUAUCUGCUGGACCAGUCGCAUGUCGGCCGCCGCGUCAUGAUCCAGCAUCUUUCUCCUGGGCGCUCCAACAUUACGCGCUGCUUCUCCGCGCGCGGCACCGCUGCCGCACCUACUGCUUAUUUGUGACACAAAUGGAACCCCAUAGAACUCCUACCACUGCAAACACAAAGCUCGGAUAUGAGUUCACCUUUAGUCCCGCGGGCCAGCUGAGCUCGUGUGCUCUCGGAUGUUACGUGAGCGCCGCAGGCGUGGCUGCUCCAUGCAGUGUCGCAGUGACAAGAUUGCAGGCUGGCGAGGAUAUUUGUUUUUAUUUGUUGGAAAUCACAUUUGAAAGUCUUAGUAAGGCAACACAGAACAGGGGCGGUUCUAGACAGGGGCCCCUGUGGAACAACAAUUGGCUCCUAUGCCGAAAACAUACACUGCAAAUAUUGAAAUCUGAUGAUCAUCCUCCGGAUUUCUCCCCAGACCUGGACAACAUACACUGAACUAUCUUGUGACGAAGAAUCUUAAGAACCAGGGAUGAGCAUGAUGAUAAGAGAUGAAUCCACAACAGAGCAGAAAAUACAGAGAUGAAUAUAAAGGGGUCAACGGAAAUCAGGUAAGUGC